rnacentral:rRNA from 1 species
AGACGAACCGGGCGAACGUUAUUCGGAAUCACUGGGCUUAAAGCGUGCGUAGGCGGCUUGGCAAGUUGGGUGUGAAAGCCCUCGGCUCAACCGAGGAACUGCGCCCAAAACUGCCAGGCUUGAGGGAGAUGGAGGUGAGUGGAACUAAUGGUGGAGCGGUGAAAUGCUUUGAUAUCAUUAGGAACACCGGUGGCGAAAGCGGCUCACUGGGUCUCUUCUGACGCUGAGGCACGAAAGCUAGGGGAGCGAACGGGAUUAGAAACCCCUGUAGUCC